rnacentral:rRNA from 1 species
AGCGAACGCUGGCGGCAGGCUUAACACAUGCAAGUCGAGCGGGCACUUUCGGGUGUCCGCGGCGGACGGGUGAGUAACGCGUGGGAACGUGCCCUCUGGUUCGGAAUAACUCAGGGAAACUUGAGCUAAUACCGGAUACGCCCUUUUGGGGAAAGGCUUGCUGCCGGAGGAUCGGCCCGCGUCUGAUUAGCUAGUUGGUGCGGUAACGGCUCACCAAGGCGACGAUCAGUAGCUGGUCUGAGAGGAUGAUCAGCCACACUGGGGCUGAGACACAGCCCAGAAUCCUACGGGAGGCAGCAGUGGGGAAUAUUGGACAGUGGGGGGAAGCAUGAUCCAGCCAUGAUGCGUGAGUGAUGAAGGCCGGAGGGUUGUAAAGCUCUUUUAUCCGGGACGAUAAUGACGGUACCGGAGGAAUAAGCCCCGGCUAACUUCGUG